CGGCCUGUCGGUUGGCUAAGUCCAAAGUUAAAACCAAAUAAAUCGACUACGCAUGUAGAACUGGUUGCGGAGGGCUUGCGGACGGGGGUUCAAUUCCCCCCGGCUCCACCA
rnacentral:tRNA from 1 species